AUUGAACGCUGGCGGCAGGCUUAACACAUGCAAGUCGAACGAGUGGCGGACGGGUGAGUAAUGCUUGGGAAUCUAGCUUAUGGAGGGGGAUAACUACGGGAAACUGUAGCUAAUACCGCGUACCAUAGGCUGAGCCCAAGUGGGAUUAGGUAGUUGGUGAGGUAAAGGCUCACCUAGGCGGCGAUCCCUAGCUGGUCUGAGAGGAUGAUUCGCCCACCUGGGACUGGAAAACGGUCCAGGACCCCUCCGGGGGGAGCCGUGGGGAAAAUUGGCAAAAGGGCCGCAGCCGUAUGCAGGCAAGCCGGGUGUUAGAAGAAGGCCUUAGGGUUGUAAAGUACGUUCAGCGGGGAGGCGUUACCCGCAGAAGAAGCACCGGCUAACUCCGUGCCAGCAGCCGCGGUAAUAC
rnacentral:rRNA from 1 species